CAGUAGUCAUAUGCUUGUCUCAAAGACUAAGCCAUGCAUGUCUAAGUUUAAGCGAUUUAAACGGUGAGACUGCGGACGGCUCAUUAUAUCAGUUAUAGUUUAUUUGAUGGUCGAUUACUACAAGGAUAACCGUAGGAAUUCUAGAGCUAAUACUUGCACUUCAAACUGAUUUUUCAGUUGCACUUAUUAGAUUUACCACCAAUGCUCUUCGGAGCUUCGGUGAUUCAUAGUAAUUUAGCGGAUCGCUACGGCUUCGGCCGCGACGCUUCAUUCAAAUUUCUGCCCUAUCAGCUUUCGAUGGUAGUGUAUUGGACUACCAUGGCUUUGACGGGUAACGGAGAAUUAGGGUUCGAUUCCGGAGAGGGAGCCUGAGAAACGGCUACCACAUCUAAGGAAGGCAGCAGGCGCGCAAAUUACCCAAUCCCAACGCGGGGAGGUAGUGACAAGAAAUAACAACAACUAACCUAUUUCAGGUGAGUUGAUUGGAAUGAGUACAAUCUAAACACCUUAACGACUAUCCAUUGGAGGGCAAGCCUGGUGCCAGCAGCCGCGGUAAUUCCAGCUCCAAUAGCGUAUACUAAUGUUGUUGCAGUUAAAAAGCUCGUAGUCGGAUUUCAGUAGGCUCAGUUAAGUCUCUUCUAUUGAGUUCUUUAUGGGCCUGCUUCUUUGACAGAAACUUCUAUGUUAUUCAUUUAGCGUGGGUAGCGACUGUCUCUUUUACUUUGAGAAAAUUAGAGUGUUCAAAGCAGGUAUUCGCCUGAAUAUUACUCUUGGAAUAAUGCUAUAAGACUUUGGUUCUAAUGUAUUGGUGAUUGGGACCAGAGUAAUGA
rnacentral:rRNA from 1 species